GUGCAGACCUUGAGGAAACAAAGCUGGGAAAAUCUGGUCAGUCUGCAAUUUUUAACUCUUAAAGGAAAGAGGAAGUAGCCGUGAACCAGGAAACCAACUCGAGACUCGAGAGUAGUCAUUUGAAUCUUUGGAGUUGGAGAUUGAAAAGUGAUUGGAUGGAAUUGAAAAGUUGUUUUGGGAAAUUCCAUCACUAUGCGUAUAUAUUGGAGUCACGUUUUCUUUUGUAUUUUAAGAUGGUUGAAUCUUCUGUUUUGAGUUGAUGUAAUAUUAAGAAUGGAUGUUUAGAACGUGUAUUUUGUUUCUUUUAGUGGACAAAUCUAUGUUUCAA